CACGGGGGUGGGGAAAGGCAUCCUUGGGGAGAAGGAUGGGAGAAGGGAGGAGGAGAAAAAGUGGAGACAUCCCUAAACACUCUUGAAUUCUUUAGUGCUCUACAACAGCCCCUUUUCUCUUACUUUUUGAAGUUAGUUACCAUACUUUUACUGAGAGGCAGCUCUUAUUAUUCCACAUGCUUUUGCCUUUCCUGUGAAAAGACAUAAAACUUGUUUUCCAUAUAAAAUCACCUCAAUUUUCUCUAUAAAAGUACUUCAUCUGUUCAACUCUUGCAGGUCAAACUCACACAAGAAUAUAGCAGGCUCUGAAACAUCUCAACUCUAUACUGCUGACAUGCAGUCAAUAGUUCAUUAAGGAGAAGUAGAUAUAUUUUAAAGAACUUAUAUUUAAAAUGAAGGAUUUUCUUUUGUUUUAGGGAAAACUCAUGUAUUUAUACAGUUACAGAGAGUGUAUACUUUAUCUUUCAUAUAAUUCAAUUAUAUUUGUAGAAGAUGCCUAAUAUGCAAAAUAUGCUCGUUUUAACACUUAUGAAAUGCACUGACUAAUAAUUUUCAAGAUUUUCUGAUGGAUGUUUCCUAUUGUUCAAGCAAUGCAGAAGGAAUAUCUUUCCUGCCAUUUUACGAAAUGCAAAAUAAUUUCUCAGUGAAUGUUCUACAUUUGCUCUCUCUCCCUAACAUUUUCUGGCAGGGAGGAAAAGAUGUCAACAUGCUCAUGUUGAGCAUGCGUGAAAAAUUUCCCAGUGUGGUUAUGUACUCUUGGUAUUUCAGCAGUCUGUGGAGAAGAGUCCUGUAUAUUCAUGCACUGACAUAGACAAAUUAUCAUUUUUAUCACCUUCUAGCUGUUCAAUGACAUUAUAUACCUAUCCACAAACAACUGUAAUCACUUUGGUUUAUAAUUCAUUAUUCAUUAGAACUUUAAUACAACUUGUUUUUCUUUUUCAGAAACCAGACUUUGCAAGUUUGACCUGAGGAUGAAAUACUCUGAAAGAAAUUUUACUGCAGUAUGGAAAUCAAACCUUCAGAACUAAAGUUCCAGCAACCACAAUUUUCCAAGAUGCUUUGCAUCUUAUUUUAAAAUUUAUUUUAUCUCAUUAUUUAUUUCAAUAGUUAUACUACUUUUUAUGGAACUUCUGGAUACCUGAGUUUCCUUUGCAAUUUAAUAGGAUUUCAAAGUGGUCAGAAGUCCAAGAGGUGUGAGGGAGCUUCAAGCCUUCCCUGUUCAGACCCCAAAGAAGCAUCUGAGAGUCUUGCUGGAUUGUGAAGAACAAGAAGGUGACAUGUAAGCAGACCAGGAUCAUCUACAUAGUGGCUGCUUCUUGCUGCUGUCCCUGUGAAUUUUGUUUUAGAGCAAAAAGCAUGGUGGUGUAAUGGCUUAUGUGAGUGUUUACAUGAACACAAGCACAGGUCUGCAUCAACGUAGUUUGAAUUAAAAGAUGGCUGUCCAAGCAGAGAUUGCUGGCAUGUACUACCUAUGAGCACUGGGAGGUGUCUUGGAAGAUAUUCCAGCUCUUGUCAGGCCAGCUUUAGAUAAGGGCUGGUGUGAAAGCAAUGACCCCAGCAGCUGCAGGCUGUGGCAGCACUGGGCCCCAGUCUGGACCUCUGCCUGCUGGGACCUGCAGGGCUGAAGAAGGAAGACAGCAGUGGGUGAAAGGCUGGGAGAAAUGCUCCCUUAGACCAUUCCUUCCCUAGGAACCCUUGUAUGGGGAAGUGUAAUACUGGAUUUCUUCUAGAGGCCUCAGAGGCUAUGCUUUUGGUAAAGCUAAACUGGGAUAUUAUCCCGGAGAAAAUAUCAGUGUAAAUAUCCAUUUUAAGCCACUAGAGUAGAUUGAAACACUGCAUUUGAAUUACUUGUAAUAGCUAAUUUGUUGAUCUACACAAAAGGUUAGUUGCAAUUUCAAAGCUAGUUCUAUUAGAUUUUAUAUAAUGAUACACUUUAUUACAUUAUAGGACAGCAGAUCCCGUUGUUUGUGUGUUGUUUCAAGUGCUUUACUUUGCUGUUGAGACCUUGCCAUCACAGUCUUGGUGUCUGUAAUCUGUUCUGUGGGUCAAAAAUGGGCAUCAAAGGCCUGGUUUUUUUUCUUUUUUGAGUCAGUUUUCAUUGUUACAAAGGCUUUGAGAAAGUUUCUGGUAUUUUUGUACAGGAAGCUUGUAGGAGACAAAGCAAUAAUAGGCUGAAAAAUAAAAGGCUCUUUCCCAAGUAGCAUGAUAUCACUCUAACCUCAGGCUGUAUCACAGUGAAAAUUACUAGCUAGGGUCUUUUAUUAAAAUAUUUUCUAUCAAUCUGCUUAUUAAAUUCUAUGAGAAAAGGUUAAAAGUGA